AAUUUUGGACAAUGGGGAAAACCUUGACCCAGCAAUCCCGCUUGAAUGAUGAGGGCUUUGGGGUUGUAAAGUACUUUUGGCAGAGAAAAAAAGGAAUCUCCUAAUAGGAGAUACGGUUCCCGGUACCUGCACAAUAACACCCGGCUAACUACCUGCCAGCAGCCGCGGUAAUACGUAGGGUGCAAGCGUUAAUCGGAAUUACUGGGCGUAAAGCGUGUGUAGGCGGUUCGGAAAGAAAGAUGUGAAAUCCCAGGGCUCAACCUUGGAGCUGCAUUUUUAACUGCCGAGCUAGAGUAUGUCAGAGGGGGGUAGAAUUCCACGUGUAGCAGUGAAAUGCGUAGAUAUGUGGAGGAAUACCGAUGGCGAAGGCAGCCCCCUGGGAUAAUACUGACGCUCAGACACGAAAGCGUGGGGAGCAAACA
rnacentral:rRNA from 1 species